GACGAACGCUGGCGGCGUGCUUAACACAUGCAAGUCGAACGGAAAGGCCUUUUCGGAGGUACUCGAGUGGCGAACGGGUGAGUAACACGUGGGUGAUCUGCCCUGCACUCUGGGAUAAGCCUGGGAAACUGGGUCUAAUACCGGAUAGGACCGCACUUUAGUGUGUGUGGUGGAAAGUUGUUUCGGUGUAGGAUGAGCCCGCGGCCUAUCAGCUUGUUGGUGGGGUAAUGGCCUACCAAGGCGGCGACGGGUAGCCGGACUGAGAGGUUGGUCGGCCACAUUGGGACUGAGAUGCGGCCCAGACUCCUACGGGAGGCAGCAGUGGGGAAUAUUGCACAAUGGGCGCAAGCCUGAUGCAGCGACGCCGCGUGGGGGAUGACGGCCUUCGGGUUGUAAACUCCUUUCGCCAGGGACGAAGCGUUUUGUGACGGUACCUGGAGAAGAAGCACCGGCUAACUACGUG
rnacentral:rRNA from 1 species